ncrna:Shigella flexneri 2a str. 2457T C4 antisense RNA
AAUUAUGGUGGGAUGUGCAGGGCAGUCGCAAGACUGGCCGGGUUCUGGAGUGACCGGUAUUUCCACCCCUGUACGUCUCACCACCCUU